rnacentral:sRNA from 1 species
CACCUGUCUUUUCGCUUGUGUCCCUCUCUCUAGUGUCGCGCUCGAGUCCCGACGGGCCGCUCCAAGCCUCGACAUGUCGUACAACUACGUGGUAACGGCCCAGAAGCCCACCGCCGUGAACGGCUGCGUGACCGGACACUUUACUUCGGCCGAAGACUUAAACCUGUUGAUUGCCAAAAACACGAGAUUAGAGAUCUAUGUGGUCACCGCCGAGGGGCUUCGGCCCGUCAAAGAGGUGGGCAUGUAUGGGAAGAUUGCGGUCAUGGAGCUUUUCAGGCCCAAGGGGGAGAGCAAGGACCUGCUGUUUAUCUUGACAGCGAAGUACAAUGCCUGCAUCCUGGAGUAUAAACAGAGUGGCGAGAGCAUUGACAUCAUUACACGGGCCCAUGGCAAUGUCCAGGACCGCAUUGGCCGCCCCUCAGAGACCGGCAUUAUUGGCAUCAUUGACCCUGAGUGCCGGAUGAUUGGCCUGCGUCUCUAUGAUGGCCUUUUCAAGGUUAUUCCACUAGAUCGCGAUAAUAAAGAACUCAAGGCCUUCAACAUCCGCCUGGAGGAGCUGCAUGUCAUUGAUGUCAAGUUCCUAUAUGGUUGCCAAGCACCCACUAUUUGCUUUGUCUACCAGGACCCUCAGGGGCGGCACGUAAAAACCUAUGAGGUGUCUCUCCGAGAAAAGGAAUUCAAUAAGGGCCCUUGGAAACAGGAAAAUGUCGAAGCUGAAGCUUCCAUGGUGAUCGCAGUCCCAGAGCCCUUUGGGGGGGCCAUCAUCAUUGGACAGGAGUCAAUCACCUAUCACAAUGGUGACAAAUACCUGGCUAUUGCCCCUCCUAUCAUCAAGCAAAGCACGAUUGUGUGCCACAAUCGAGUGGACCCUAAUGGCUCAAGAUACCUGCUGGGAGACAUGGAAGGCCGGCUCUUCAUGCUGCUUUUGGAGAAGGAGGAACAGAUGGAUGGCACCGUCACUCUCAAGGAUCUCCGUGUAGAACUCCUUGGAGAGGUAGAACUUGUUCUCCCUGUUCCUCUACAAUGUUCUUUUAGGUUCCUAAAGACACCAAAUGUGUGGUCCCACACCUCAACUCUGGGAAUUAUGUUACUUAACACCUAACAACAAACUGUUGUUCCUGCUGUGGAAGUUGACUGUUGAAUGAGUUAGGUAUUGGAGCAUCUCACAGGAUCCUGUGAUAAUCUAUCCAAGCAGCCUGUGAGAAAAGGAAAAGA